rnacentral:tRNA from 1 species
CAAAAUAUAGCUUAUACAAAGCAUCCAACUUACAAUUGGAAGACGCCGAAUGAAUCGGCCUUUUUGA